rnacentral:lncRNA from 1 species
UAGUUUGUGAUAUUACUCAUGAUGUAAGACAAACAAGUGACACCUCGCAUCAAGAUAUGGACAUGAAACAACUGUUCCAGAGCAUUAAAGUACUCCUAGAAGAAAGUACAUCAAGAUAUGCAGUGUUCUAUUUUAAAAACAAUCAAAUGUUGCAGUGUCAAGAUAUCGUAUAGUUUGUGAUAUUACUCAUGAUGUAAGACAAACAAGUGACACCUCGCAUCAAGAUAUGGACAUGAAACAACUGUUCCAGAGCAUUAAAGUACUCCUAGAAGAAAGUACAUCAAGAUAUGCCAUAUCGGCAAGAUGAAAUUGUCAUCAGCUUGAGAAAUAACAAUUAAAAAACAAGUUAAAAGUAUCGAUGGAAAUCCCAAUCAGCAACUUCAGUAUCAUAUCUCCCUGCAUUUCAAAAGUAAUUUUUUUAGCUAUCUACACUUUGAGAAUACAGAUAAACAAACUUGGACAGAUAGAAGUGUAAAAUCAGCAUAUAAACCUGACUCGUGAUUUGUGACAAUGUCUACCAGAAUAUAUGGCAUUACUCAGAUAACCCA